UUUAUAUUACUUACAUUCAUAUAGAAUUAAAAAAGUAGGGGAGAGAGGGGCUUGUUGUAACAUUUUUCAUGAAAACUAAUAUAUCUUGAAAUCUAUUGAUUAUAUUGCUACUAAAUAAAGAUGGAUGGAUGCUGUAA